rnacentral:rRNA from 1 species
GUCCUUUUGUUUUUUAUUUAAGGUCUAGUCUGCCCNCUGAAUUUAAAUUUUAAAUGGCCGCAGUAUUUUGACUGUGCAAAGGUAGCAUAAUCAUUAGUUUUUUAAUUAAAAGCUUGUAUGAAAGGCUGGACGAGGUAAAAUCUGUCUCUAUUUAAAUUAUUGUAGAAUUUAACUUUUAAGUUAAAAGGCUUAAAUGUUAUUAAAAGACGAGAAGACCCUAUAGAUCUUUAUAGUUUGUUAAAUAAAAUUAAUUUAGAAAUAUUUAUGUUUUAUUUAUUUAAAUUAUUUUAUUGGGGUAAUAGAAAGAUUGAAUUAAUUCUUUUUUAUAAUAAACAUUGAUUUAUGAAUGUUAAUGAUCCAAUUUUAUUGAUUAUAAGAUUAAGUUACCUUAGGGAUAACAGCGUAAUUUUUUUAGAGAGUUCAUAUCGAUAAAAAAGCUUGCGACCUCGAUGUUGGAUUAAAGAUUAUUUUAGGUGUAGAAGCUUAAUAAUUUUGGUCUGUUCGACCAUUAAAUCUUUAC